UGCAGCCUCAAGAAUCCUUGGAAGUUGAAUAAAACCAGACGCAGGAAGAAACUCUUCCCUCAUCUAGCUCAUGAAUGCAUUGUCCAAGUUUAGUAUUUUAUUAUUAUUGCCUUCUACCCUCAUCUGCUUUCCUCUUACCACAAACACAGGAGCUUCUAAGAGCACAAUGACAAGUCGAGAUUGUGAACUGUGCUCCAGCAAGGCAGCAAGAAAUGAAAGCACCUAUAAAACCAAAGCAUGGCAGCAGCUGCCCUCCACGGUAACAUUCAGCAUCAGCGCACUGCCCCAGGAUGCUGUUCCAGGCUGUGACAGAAGUUCAUUGGGUUGCUGUGACUUUCCACACUGAUGACUGGCAAAAUCUCCAGUAGGAAUCCCAGUUUAUCCCAGGUAUCAUUUACUUCAGAGACCAUGUGGUCCCAUCUAAGAUCUUCCCCUGAUAAGCUAUAGAGUCCCUUUAUUCAAUAAUAACCUCUAGGUAAGCCAGUAACCUACCUUUCCUAGUAUGCCAGAACUAGCAUAGAUGGCGUCAACCACAGAUGACAAUCCUUCUUUCUGUGUACAUCUUGGGAAUGGAUAGUUCAGUUCUUUUUCCAAAAAGUAGGAGCUCUGCGCUUCACUGAGCUCCUGUUACUGUUACAUGUGAAGUCUUUUCCUUGCAGUCUUUUGGGAAACCUAAAACUGGGGCUGAGGUCAAAGGCAAGUCAUAAAUUGAAUUAUUUUGUUUGACUAAAGUUAUGUAAACUAAAACAGUCAAAUGGAGUGCAAGCGUGCAGUGCUAAGUGCUGUUUCUACCCAAGUGUUUCAGGGUGCUCCAGUGCUAUGAUGAGGGCAAUGUCCAUGGCUGUACUGUAACAGGCAAAAGGUGCAAAGUCUGCGUUUUAUGGCCUGAAAACAAGUAUUUGCAAUAAGGGUAUCAGAGAGAGACUGUAAACUUUGCAAUAUAUUGUAAAUAUUACUGUACAGAAAUUUAUAAGUAAGAAAUACAGAUUGUUCUAUAAUACAUAUAUUACUUUUCUAAGAGAUAUGAGUCCUUGUAUUUAGUAAAAUGGGCCAAACAUUACACUGAUUAAGCAGAAACUUUCUCCUGGGAGCAGGUUUUUCUGUAAUUGCCUCCUGUGAAGUUUCUUAUGUCUGCUUUUGAAUCCUUGGAAAUGGAGUACUGGUCAGAUCUGGUAUGGAUGUUUCUAUAUUGAUAUGUUUAUAUUCCUAUUAAAGAACCUGUGUGCUGCUGAAUGCAUACAAAUAAAGUUAUCACUCUGAAAGUUUAUGGCGU
rnacentral:lncRNA from 14 species